rnacentral:rRNA from 1 species
UACGUAGGGUGCGAGCGUUAAUCGGAUUUACUGGGCGUAAAGAGCGCGCAGGCGGUCGUUCAAGUCGCGUGUGAAAGCCCCCGGCUCAACUGGGGAGGGUCACGCGAUACUGAUUGACUCGAAGGCAGGAGAGGGUAGUGGAAUUCCCGGUGUAGUGGUGAAAUGCGUAGAUAUCGGGAGGAACACCAGUGGCGAAGGCGACUACCUGGCCUGUUUCUUGACGCUGAGGCGCGAAAGCUAGGGGAGCAAACGGG